CGCAGGUGGUGGUGGGUGCAGGGACAUCCCCCAUGUAUGCCCUACAUGUCCUGCUACUUAGUUAAACUAUGGGCCCAUGAAUGCGGCAGCGGCACUAGUGUUCUCCCUCUUGCCCAGGGUCCAAUCAAUAUUAAAGACGGCCCUGG